UCCGCAGAUAUAUAGGUAUGAUGUAAGGGUCAGGCUGCGAUGGUUAUUUCACAUUUGUGAAAGUCGUGGUAUUGUAAUGUGGCAACGGAUAACGGCAUGUGCCAGACUGAUUGACAUUACCUCCUUACCAGUGUGGCUGGAGAUAAUUUAAUUACUCUUAAGGAACUCCACAGGAAACGACUAGUUACAUAUUUCCCCCCCCCACCCACCCCAUUUGAUUUUACCAUUGACACACACCAUAUACACGUACACACCUUCCGUUUCGUUAAUUUUUUUUUUUUACGCUAAUUCUUUCGUUUCGCCCACUAAUUAAGCGAGAGUUUUCGGUAAGCGCGCGUCGCAGAGCGCACCAAUUAACAUCGCCAUUGUCUUUUCAGCGGUACGAUUAAUGAAUAAGUUCUAAUCGUUUCGUUAACUUCUUCUAAGCCUUAACUUCUUUUAUCAUAGACUAGUGCGUAAGUGGAUUUUGACGUUCUUCUAAGGCCGCUCGCGUGUUUUAUUUUUGCACGGGAAACGAUUACGCCGAGUGAAUCUCGAGCGACGCUGUAGACGGCCGUCGAUAUUAGAAAGAACGUCAAAAUAUUUCAGCUUUAAGAGUGAGGGAGCCAGAGGCACAUGCGACUCUGGAGUCUUAGAACUCUGCAACUAGCUUUGGAAAAUGUAAUUGAACGGGGCGUGACUGCUGGUCGCCGCCCCCUCGCAACAAGCUAACCAAACGCUGUGCCUCGGCCACCUUGCCACUCGAAAAACACUCUCACUCUGUACCUGCGACGGUCCAAAGUAUGGAAAUCGUAGUGUUAGGGCGUUUAGCAUCAGGACGAAAAAGAAAAGAACAAAAUGGAUAAAUAUUGCCGGUUCACACAUUCGCUAGAUUGAGAUAGCAAAUUGCAUCAAGUCGCGCUCUGCAUUAAUUGUGAUAUCGUUUUAAAUAAUUGUCAGUAACCGCGUCUCGCCUCGCAGACGUUUUCAGAACAAUUUUCACAACAUUCCGAGAGUUUCACGUUCAAUAUGUAUGUCGCUUGUGAAUUGUCAAAGAUUCUAUAAUGUUGGGGCGAACAAUCUGAUGUAAUGUUCACAAUUGAGUGACGUCAAAGCAGGAGGGAGUUCUUCACAAUAUUGCGGCGCGUAGUUCUUGAUGCUAAUUAUUUGACGGGGAAGUACAUGUGGGGGUUGAGUGGAGAACGCAAGGUGCUCACUUGGUGUUCCAACCUCUUCACCGAAGCAAUGUACAAGGACCAAAUUUCGAAAUAGCCAGCACAGAUCCAUACUUUGGUGCGGGAGAGAAGGGUGUAACGUUGACUAAGAAAUAAAAAUGUAGAGCUCGCUAAAUA